GUAAGUCACCUGUGAAAGCCCUCGGCUUAACCGAGGAAGGUCGGGUGAUACUGCUUGGCUUGGGUGUAGGAGAGGAGAGCGGAACUCACAGAGUAGCGGUGGAAUGCGUAGAUACUGUGAGGUACCCCGAUGGCGAAGGCAGCUCUCUGGCCUACUACCGACGCUGAAGCGCGAAAGCGUGGGGAGCAAAGGGGAUUAGAUACCCCCGUAGUCCACGCCGCAAACGAUGUUCACUUGGUGUCGGUCGCAUAUACAGAUCGGUGCCGGAGCUAACGCGUUAAGUGAACCGCCUGGGGAGUACGGCCGCAAGGCUAAAACUCAAGAGAAUUGACGGGUCCCCGCACAAGCGGUGGAGCACGUGGUUUAAUUCGAUGAUAAGCGAAGAACCUCACCUGGGCUUGACAUACUAGUGGUAGGAACCUGAAAGGGGGACGACCCUGCCUUCGGGUAGGGAGCUAGUACAGGUGAUGCAUGGCUGUCGUCAGCUCGUGUCGUGGGAUGUAGGGUUAAGUCCCGAAACGAGCGCAACCCUUGUCGUUAGUUGCCAGCGGGUAAUGCCGGGGACUCUAACGAGACUGCUGGUGAAUAGCCGGAGGAAGGCGGGGAUGACGUCAAGUCAUCACGUCCCUUAUGCCCAGGGCGACACACAUGCUACAAUGGGAGGUACAGAGGGUCGCAAUACGGUAACGUGGAGCCAAUCUCAAAAAACCUCCCCCAGUUCGGAUUGUGGUCUGCAACUCGACCACAUGAAGCCGGAAUCGCUAGUAAUCGCGGGUCAGCCAUACCGCGGUGAAUAUGUACUCGGGGAUUGUACACACCGCCCGUCACACCAACCGAGUGGGGGGUACCUGAAGUCGCCUUUUUGAGGGCGCCUAAGGUAACCUUCGCAAGAGGGGUGAAGUCGUAACAAG
rnacentral:rRNA from 1 species